rnacentral:rRNA from 1 species
CCUACGUGUUGCAGCAGUGAGGAAUAUUGGUCAAUGGGCGCGAGCCUGAACCAGCCAAGUAGCGUGAAGGAUGACUGCCCUACGGGUUGUAAACCUCUUUUAUCAAGGAAUAACAUGAGGCACGUGUGCCUUUCUUCAUGUACUUUAUGAACAAGCAUCGGCUACCUCCGUGCCAGCAGCCGCGGUACUACGGAGGAUACGAGCGUUAUCCGGAUUUAUUGGGUUUAAAGGGAGCGUAGAUGGGGUGUUAAGUCAGUUGUGAAAGUGUGGGGCUCAAACGUAGAAGUGCAAUUGAAACUGGCAGUCUUGAGUACAGUUGAGGUAGGCGGAAUUCGUGGUGUAGCGGUGAAAUGCUUAGAUAUCACGAAGAACUCCGAUGGCGAAGGCAGCUUACU